ACCAGAUUUUAAAAAAAUAACCUCUACAAUCCUCCAGAUGGCGACCAGAAGCUCGUACUGUUAAUCAUCAAAAGCUUAAAAAUAAUUAUUAUAAUUUUUCAAUUCAACAAAUUAAACAAUCUUCAACAAUUAUGUUUUAAAACCCUUUUCCUUGUUAAUUAUGUGAAAUUUGAUCGAAUAAGGAUGUCUAUGAGCCUCAUGGAGUCUACAAAUAGUGAUAAUGAUCAUAACCUUAUCCUAAGGUCUACUAUUCCUUAGUUAAAGAUAAGCUAUCCCAUGCAUCAACAGUAUUGAGAUGAUAUUGAUUUGAGUCUAUCUUUGGUUGGAAAAUUUAUACAAAAAUCUUACAAAAUAUCAAGAAUUGAAAUUUUCUAAAGGCUUUUGAUGGCAUUCUGGUUAUCAUCAUUCUGUUGCUUACAAUUUGAAAUUUAAUCAAUACUCAUCUCGUUCAAGUUCAAGUCGUAAUCAUCAGAGUUUACACAUUACCAAUUUCAAGCAAAUUAGUGGAAAAUCGGAAUUGGUAUCUGGUUAAAUUUUGGGCGAUGCUUAAAGAUUUGUGAAAUUGCAUAAUCAAAUCUUGAUCAUGCAACUUAUCUUACUGAAUUAAUGAUUAAACAGGUUUAUUUGAAAUGGUAACCCAAAUUGAAAAUGACAAAACCAGAAAAUGGUUGAUUCAGACGA